CUACAAUGGAUCGUACAAAGGGUAGCCAACCCGCGAGGGGGAGCCAAUCCCAGAAACCGGUCCUCAGUUCGGAUUGGAGUCUGCAACUCGACUCCAUGAAGUUGGAAUCGCUAGUAAUCGCGGAUCAGCAUGCCGCGG
rnacentral:rRNA from 1 species